rnacentral:lncRNA from 1 species
AAUCACAGAAUCAAUUCACAGUAUCCUUUAGACUCCUUUUAUGUUUGAAUUUAUUAUGCAAAAAUAUAAGUCACAAAUUAAAUUUGAAGGCAAUUAAGAGUAACACGAAUGAUUUUCAAAGAUUAGUCUCCAAUAUACAAGACCAAAAUAACAGAACACAGAGUAUGAACAUAUGAUAUAAAAAGAACUCAUCUUCUGUUUCUAGGUGUUGCUAAAUUUUGCAACUGGAAAUUCCUUAGUCGAGAUUAGAUACUUAAAAAGUAGUCAACCCAUGAACCGUCAUCAAGCAGUUGUGUCAGGGAUCUAGGAGAAAUAGUGCUGGUUCAGUUUUUGCUGCAUAUCCAAACUUGUAUGAACUAUACUUUCUAUGUACUCCCUUGAGUUUUCCGGAUCCUGCUUUCUGAUGGUAAGUAACCAUCAACUUUGAACAUUCCCUGUUGACAUGCAUGACAAAAGCAUCCUUCAUUAGUGUUCUACACAAAGGUCAAAUAAAGCUAGGAAAGCCUAGCAAUCCAAAUAUAAUAACUUACAACAGCUGAUCUUCUGUGUAUUUAGUAUGCCACUCACUGGUCUUUGUCCAGUUCUUGAACCGGAAAAGACUGCACUGUGCUGUGUAAAUUGCUGCAGCAGCUAGCAGAGAUGGCUGAAACUUGAGCAUUUCAUAUUCAACCAUGCACAACUCAAUCAGG